rnacentral:rRNA from 1 species
GACGAACGCUGGCGGCGUGCUUAACACAUGCAAGUCGAACGAAGUGGCGAACGGGUGAGUAACGCGUAAUCAACCUGCCCUUCAGAGGGGGACAACAGUUGGACACGACUGCUAAUACCGCAUACUGAAGGAGGGGAUUGCGUCUGAUUAGCUGGGUGGAGGGGGAACGGCCCACCAAGGCGAUGAUCAGUAGCCGGGCUGAGAGGGAGGACGGGCCAAACGGGACUGGGAACCGGCCCAGAAUUCUAACGGAGGCAGCAGGUGGGAAUCUUUCGAAAUGGACGGAAGUCUGGCGGAGCAACGCCGCGUGAGUGAUGACGGCCUUCGGGUUGUAAAGCUAUGUUAAUCGGGACGCGGUACCGGAAUAGAAAGCCACGGCUAACUACGUGCCAGCAGCCUCGGUAAUUC